rnacentral:rRNA from 1 species
UACGGAGGGUGCAAGCGUUAAUCGGAAUUACUGGGCGUAAAGCGCACGCAGGUGGCUGAGUCAGUCGAUUGUGAAAGCCCUGGGCUUAACCUGGGAAUUGCAGUCGAUACUACUCAGCUAGAGUAUGGGAGAGGGUAGUGGAAUUCCCGGUGUAGCGGUGAAAUGCGUAGAUAUCGGGAGGAACAUCUGUGGCGAAAGCGGCGCACUGGACCACAACUGACGCUGAGGCGCGAAAGCUAGGGGAGCAAACAGG